UCCUACGGGUGGCUGCAGUGGGGAAUAUUGGACAAUGGGCGAAAGCCUGAUCCAGCAAUGCCGCGUGAGUGAUGAAGGCCUUAGGGUUGUAAAGCUCUUUUACCCGGGAAGAUAAUGACUGUACCGGGAGAAUAAGCCCCGGCUAACUCCGUGCCAGCAGCCGCGGUAAUACGGAGGGGGCUAGCGUUGUUCGGAAUUACUGGGCGUAAAGCGCACGUAGGCGGCUUUGUAAGUUAGAGGUGAAAGCCCGGGGCUCAACCCCGGAAUUGCCUUUAAGACUGCAUCGCUUGAACGUCGGAGAGGUGAGUGGAAUUCCGAGUGUAGAGGUGAAAUUCGUAGAUAUUCGGAAGAACACCAGUGGCGAAGGCGGCUCACUGGACGACUGUUGACGCUGAGGUGCGAAAGCGUGGGGAGCAAACAGGAUUAGAUACCCGGGUAGUCUC
rnacentral:rRNA from 1 species